ensembl:lncRNA
CUGACAGUUUCAAACGUACACAGUUGUAAUGAUGAUUUCUCCCAUUCCUGACUCUCGUGUCUUGUACUGGGGUAGAGAGAUGCUGCUGUUUAAGUGACACAACGCCAGGCGUGGUGUGAGAGUGGAUCUGACAGCUCGGUGUGAGGCACGGGUGAGCUGUGGGUGCGCCUCCUGACUCCUACUCAGCCCUCCAAUCAGUUGGAGUCAAGGACACAGACAGGCAGCGAUACAGAGAUCUAGCACGCGCCCGGAGAUGCAGUACCACACACUGCCUGAGUGGAGGAAGUAUCACACAGUCACAGGCUUACAGCAGCCAUUCUCUCUCUUUCUGUUAUUCUGUCUUUUUCUUUCUUUUUAUCAUUCUCUUUCAUACUUCCCCUUUCGUUCUUUCACUCUCAAUCUGUCGGUCUUCCUUCCUCUGAAACAUGCAUGUGAGCACACAUAUGCGCACACACGCACAAUUUACAUUUUGCUCAGAAUGUAUUGGUGAGCACAAUUUGGAUCUUAUUCAAAUGGAAAGGGACUCCCCUAUUUUUGGUGCUAAUAAGAUAUUCUUGAAGUGGUGAGCCUCAUCAUAAAAAAUUACCUUAAAUGCCAUUAAUAGUUUAUAGGCUGGGUUAAUGAAAGAGUGACUAGAUUAUGUUAAAUUGAACAUUCAGAGAACUGGAGUUCUGCCAUCUGGUAGCUCCUUUAAAGUCUCUGAAAGACUUUGAUUACUGAAGAAUAUGUGGAAAGUUAUCUCAUUUUGAAGAAUUAGCAUCUUUUUAAUCAUAUUCCAUGAUUCCAUGUUGCGUUUGUAAUGACAGAUACAGUAUAUUGUAUAUGAACUACUCACAACAGUGGAGGUCUCUCAAAUCUGAGGAGUGAGUGUGUAAUGUAUUUACUUCCUGUUCAUCGUUAAAUGAACUUGAAACGGGAUGAAACAUUCAACAGAUAAAAACUAUACUGAAAAUAAGUAAUACUAAAGAAGUACAGAGAAAAAAGUACUGAAAAUAUUGAACCAUGUCAUGCGUUUAAUAUCUGACGAUUAUUUGCUUUGACCAUGUUGCCAUGGUACAAGCUGGACAUGUUAUCCGGCCCUACUUCAUCAUUUAACCCUAAACUGCUGACCACUGGUUGUACUAAUCAGUAUGGACAAGACUGAUGGUGGUUAGACCACAUCUUCCACUGCCGUUGGACUGUUUGGACACACAAAGGGCCCUUGGAGUUUAUAAAUUGGUAUUACUAAAUGAGUCCGUCGUUGAAAUGUUGCCGGCUGCUUGGCCGCUUCGUCAUGUAAACACAGAUCACCAUGGAGACCGCUGCCAUGGCUGACAAAACAAGACGAAAAAAGGAACUAGAGAGACGGGAUCCUCUUUCAACUUCUGAUCCGUGGUCACGUGGAUCUACUUCAGAGAAGCAGAAGGGCUUUCCCCACCAAUCUUUCUGAGUCAAACCAGUAAUUCUAGGCUAAAUGCUGGAACGUAUGGGGCUAGGCUGUCAUUUUGCCGUGUAGUCACUGGAUAUGGAAAACCACAGUAUAGUGAAGAUAAUAAGUAAUCGUGAAUGUUGAGCUAUGUAUGCUUAUUUGACUUGGUGAUGGAGGAGCCGAAGAGACUGUACAGUCAAACCUAAAUGCUGCACCCAGUUUUGUGAGUUUUAAAUAAUUUUUCACAGCAGGUUUUAGCUGGAACACACAUUGCUCUUCUUAUAGACGUGAAAUAUUGGGAUGAUUGCUUCCCAGUUGCUCUCCACUAUUUUAAGAUUUCUCCAGGUUUGUUUCCCUCACUGUCUCUUUCAUAGGGCGCAUUUCCAACAUGGCAGAUGGCCACUGUGUUUGAGACACUAGACAGUGCAAAGGAAAAGAGAAGAGAGAAUUACGAGGAGGAAAAAAAAGGGGGCUCAGACUCCGACUCUUGGAUAGCACAUUGGCUGGCUUCCACAUUUUAGUGGGAAAGCUACAGUAUGUAGAUAUAUAAUCAAAAUGUCAGAUUGCAUUUAGUCAACAUUUUUAUAAACCACUCUUUACAAUGACACACAUUUUACUUAGUCUUCGCUUGAAAGAAUAUUACAACUCACCCUUAUACUGAAUAAGCAACCUAUAAAACCAGUAGUUUUGACACAUUCAAUAACUGAGCAGUAAAAUAUUUCAUUGAAAUGUUUUCCACAGCAUGUGUUUAUAGUGGGACCUGUCACAACUUGAACUCUUUGUGAUGAAUUCGCUCUGCGUUUUAGUUACGCAAUAAGAAACUACCCAUCUUCAGUUACCAGAUGUUGCAUUACCUUUUGUGGAACAUUUGAAAAAUGAGACAAAAAAACCCAACUUGGAAUAUCGGCCACCGUCUCGAUGUCAUAGUGACAAAUGCCAAUUAACUAACAUUGUUGCCCUUGGUAUGCAUGACGACAAGCCGGUGUGAAUGACCAGAGUACCAGUGUUGUAUGGAGCAACUUACUGCCAGUAAGUUGCUUCUCACCGGGCAGCCAAAUGUUUUUGUGCGACAACUGUCACCAAGCUGUGAAGUGUAGCUAGCAUCGCCAACUUGAAUUUCAUCUUCAAAAAUAAAUCAUGCCGGUAUGAAAAAUGACCAUUAGUGGUGGUUGUCUGGAUGUCUCUGUGAUACAUACAGUCUAAUCAAUGGGGAGAUGAAAGCACUGGCCACACCUGGGAAGUUUCCUUCUUUAAGAUCAAGGGACCUGCUAAGGCAUUACAUAAUGACUGGAGUGAUUUUCACUGAGUUAUUUGUGUCAUUCUGAUGGAAAAACAAGAUGCUACUUCAAACCUGUUACCACACAUUCGAAGUCCCAACUUGGACAAUUUUCCAAUAACACUUGAGGGACUGUGACUUCCUUUUAACAUUCCCUCCAUCACUUCUGAUAAUGACAGUUUAAAGCUGAUGGUGACAGUGAUUGUUAUGGAACAAUGGCCUUCAUGUUCAAACCAUAGAAAUUGUAAUGAUUCAUUGAUGGUAUAAACUGGAAAUAAAUAGUGAGCUCAAAAUAUUUAAGUUGGUGGCCAAUGUGGUUUCUGUCUGAAUGUUCAGACUGACACUUUCUCAUUCAAUACUGUUGCAAAGUGAUUAUUUAGAUAUCCACAUUGUGCUGUUCAUUGAUAGCUUUUAUUAUCUAAUGAUGUCCAAUGAACAUAGUAUAUAUGCAGUUGUUGACACCACAACACAGCACAUAUUUGGGAUGUUGGAAAUUGAUCAUUAAAAUAAUUUAUUCCGCUGUUGUGUUGUUGUCUGCUUACAGUGGGUCAUUUCAUACGGAACAGUCAGAUGCGCUCAUAUUUUUGAAUCACAAACAGGUUUGAGAGUAUAGGCGCUAAAAUCACGGCCCUUCUAAAACCCUUCUAAAACCUGACUCUUUUAAUAGAUGGCUCCGAGCUGGCCAGUACACAUUCCUAAGGGAGGUAUGGAAAACAAAGCUGGAUCCCAGAGAGUAAGUCAGUCCAUCUUUCCCCUGUGGACUUUGUGAGUGAAGCCCAGCUCGAAUCAACUCCCACAUACAGGGAAUUCCUAUCUGAAAUAUUUGCUAUUUGUUCAAUAAAAGGAAAUGAGGAAGGGAAGGUGGCCAGGAGGGAGGAGAUGGAUUGGGGGAUGGGGGACUUGUUUAAAUUGAAUCACCACAGCAGCUUCCGUAAUAUAUUUUUUCUUCUACUUCUCUUCUUCAUUUUUAAGAGGAAAUGAGUUUCACAACGUAAGGCAAUGUUUCAACUGUCAUUUAUUUUUGAUGCCUGGCAAGCAACAGAGAUGUCACCAAAUAAUGAGUAACCCAGCACUUAGCUUCCACUACUGUCUAUUAAGGGCUGGCACAAAUGGAAUGUAAAUGCUUUGCAAUAAAAAUAUCACACACACACAGACACACACAUACGUAUAUAUAUUAGGACUGUCAAAAUGAACGCAUAAACGCGUGGGAUUAAUAAAAAAUGCUUAACGCCGUAGAAUUUUUUGUCACAUUUUUCGUUUGUUGAGCCUCAGAACCAAAGUUACUGCUUGACUUGUGCAGGAGCUGUUGCUUAUUCAUUUGCAACAGUAUACGGGGAACUUUAUUUGGCACUUGACUUGUGCUGGAGUGGUCGAGAGUGCUUCACAUUUGUUUUUUUUAAUCUAAAAAUGUAGAGUAGCCUACGCAUUCAUGUCGUGAUUCGUGUUUACUCACGUUCAACGACAGCAUUUAUGUGUCAACGGCCCAGUGAGCAAUCGGUGGUGGCCCGCCGUCGCUUUUCUCCUCAUCUCAAUUUGCAUAAGCUAAUUUGCAUCUCUGGCGGCUUUCCACCAGCGGCCCGACUGCGUUACGCUGGCGGCUAGCCGCCGUAGAGAGGGCAUGUGCUGUGAUUUGCUGUAUCUGCCUGUGUUGCCAUUUUCUUCCAACAGAGGUGCUAUUGUACCACUUUUAUUCUUGUACUGAUUAUUUGUAUUAACUUUAUUUUAAUACUGUUAAAUCUUUUGGUAAACACUGAUUUAUUAAUAAAAUAGACUUUGACUUUUGCGCUAUUGCUUAUGUAAAGGACCUUUGUGUAGACAUGUACAGUAAACACAUAGAAACAGCCAUCUUUCGCCAUUGCUUACCAUCAUUUUUUCCCCAAACUAAUUGCCAUUUUCAACUGCAUGGUACCGGCUCAACUACUCGCCUAUAGCCUUGACUUUAAUCGCUUCACGAUGGACAGUUCUUUACUGUGUUUAAACACUGCAGUGUCCGUAGAUGGCGCCGUAGCGAAUGUGAAUUGCACGUAAGGCAAGACAAUUGCCAUUUUGCACGCUAGGAAUCCCUCAUUCUAGUUAUGUGAAAACUGGAUCAUUUUAGUGACUUGGUUCUUUAAGUCUCGUUCAGGAAAAGGAACAACUAUUUUUCAAAGAGUGUAAGGUAUAAGCUAUAUGCUCUAAAUUGGACAAAACAUGUGUAUUCUGAUUUUGUUUACUACAAUUUGAUGAACUCGAAGAUCAAAAUAGUUUUUUACAUCAGACUGAAAAUGAUUGAACGCAGAGUCACCUACAUAGCUAGGGUGAGUUCUGUUCUGCGUUUUUAUAAAUAACUAUGUGUUGUUAGGUUACUGAGUAAGAAUGUAAUGUCUUUUUUGUAUUAAACAAUGACUGUUUGCAAUAUUCUAUUAACAUUCUAAUUCUUUAGUCAAAGUCACUGGUAGCUGAACGCAAGUUUUAAACCAUUGGCGGUAAAACAAAUUAAUGAAUCUGAGCUUGAAAAAAAAACAGCGCUGGCCUGAGAUGAAAUACCUACAGUAACCCUUGUGUUUCUUUGUGUGUCCACAAGUUUGGUUGCUUACAAUUUUUGUUUCUUUGUUUCUCCUCAAGUUCAGCUGUUUUGUGCUUCUUUGCAUAUCAACGGUUGAACAGGUAUGGUAACAUUGUUAGCUAACUUGUCUACACUGUGUUUCUUAGUGUAUCAACAAGUUUGAAUGUUAUAAUAUGUGCUUAUUCCUUGUAACUUUUAUCAACUGAUACGUAACGUUAGCUAAAUCGUGUUUCUUGGUGUAAUGUUAUCCACAUCAUGUGGACAACGUUACUCUUGGCAAGAAGGGAGAGGUAGGGGGACAUUAUAGCUCAUGAAGGUAAGAAUGAACAUUUUGGCGGACACUGCGAUUUUUGUUCUGAUUAUAAAAUAACCAGAUAUUUAGGACUGAAUAAUUAACUGUCUUUACUUUCAGAACAUUUGGAGAAGAUCAAGUGGCUGACUGAAGAGAAGGUCGAGCUGAGGGCACAGCUGGCUCUACAAUCAGGAGCCAUAAGGAAGAAUCCUUCCAACCGGGAUGCCACUGACGAGGCUGUCCAGAACCAGGUCCCAGAAAGGGACAGCUGACCGUGCAGGUGGGAGAAGCGUUGCGGCGGUACAAGGGACCUGCCGUGAAUAUGAAUGACAUCUCCAGCACCACCAAUAUUGCUGCUAAUCUACAGUAGUCUUUAUAAAAAAUAUUAUAACUGCUGCUAUGUACAGUGUUAUUUAUAUAUGAUCGCAUUAUCCUUAAUAUAUUUAUAGCUCUGUGUGAAUGUUCUUAAUUCUGACUGUAGUUGUAGUGUGUUAUGCCACCAUUCAUAAGCUUAUUGCACUGAUGUAUCUACGAUUCAAUACAUUUUGAUUGCUGCUACGUCACACUUAUGUAUAUUACUGCCAUUCUAGCCCUUGUUUAUUUUGUAUUAUAUUAUGUUUAUUUUGUACUUUUUCACAUUCAAAUACUGUAAUUUUACUAUAUUGGUUGCUGGAUACGUUUUCUUGCACUAUUUGAUUUUUCUAUUCAUUUGCACAUGUUUAUUUUGUAUCUUGCACUAUUUGAAAUACAUUUUUCAGAUUUUAUUCAGUUCAUUGUCAUUUGUGAUAUGUGAUAAAUUAUUGUAAAGGAUUACUAUGAAUACAACCUAAUAUUGGGGCGUGAGGCGUCCCGCUGGGUUUAGUGCUGAAAAGUAGCUAGCUGCCGUCGGGCCGCUGGUGAGCCCCUGAUCAGGGUAUUGUUGGAAGGCAAUGUAAUGAAAGCGGCCCAAUGGUGGCCCGACUGCGACCCACGCUAUAUAAAAAAAAAAAAACAUUUUCA